rnacentral:rRNA from 1 species
UACGGGAGGCAGGAGUGGGGAAUAUUGCACAAUGGGCGAAAGCCUGAUGCAGCUAUGCCGCGUGUAUGAAGAAGGCCUUAGGGUUGUAAAGUACUUUCAUCGGGGAGGAAAAACAAAACUAAUAAUUUUAUUUCUUGACGUUACCCGAAAAAGAAGCACCGGCUAACUCCGUGCCAGCAGCCGCGGUAAUACGGAGGGUGCUAGCGUUAAUCAGAAUUACUGGGCGUAAAGAGCACGUAGGUGGUUUUUUUAAAGUUCAGAUGUGAAAUCCCUGGGCUUAACCUAGGAACUGCAUUUUGAAACUGAAAUACUAGAGUAUCGUAGAGGGAGGUAGAAUUCUAGGUGUAGCGGUGAAAUGCGUAGAUAUCUGGAGGAAUACCUGUGGCGAAAGCGGCCUCCUAAACGAAUACUGACACUGAGGUGCGAAAGCGUGGGGAGCAAACAGGGA